rnacentral:ncRNA from 1 species
CGUGAGCUGGGUUUAGACCGUCGUGAGAUAGGUUAGUUUUACCCUACUGAUGAACCACGCCGCAAUAGUAAUUCAACUUAGUACGAGAGGAACCGUUGAUUCACACAAGUGGUCAUCGCGCUUGGUUGAAAAGCCAGUGGCGUGAAGCUACCGUGUGUCGGAUUAUGAUUGAACGCCUCUAAGUCAGAAUCCACACUAGAAGCAGCGCUUGUCACUCCUCGACUGUAUCUUGACCCGUAGGGGUGUCGCUUCGGCACCCCCAGGGGCCCGUGUCACUUGCGAACCUCGGUCGGGAAGCGUCUUGGUCGGGGCAGCUUUGAAGUUCAAUUUCAAACGGUCGUUGAGAAGAAUCCUUUGCUGACGACUUAAAUACGCGACGAGGUAUUGUAAGUGGAAGAGUGCCUUUGCUGCCAUGAAUCACUGAGAUUCAUCCCUUCGUCGCCUCGAUUAAG